rnacentral:lncRNA from 1 species
CCAGCGCAGGGGCUUCUGCUGAGGGGGCAGGCGGAGCUUGAGGAAACCGCAGAUAAGUUUUUUUCUCUUUGAAAGAUAGAGAUUAAUACAACUACUUAAAAAAUAUAGUCAAUAGGUUACUAAGAUAUUGCUUAGCGUUAAGUUUUUAACGUAAUUUUAAUAGCUUAAGAUUUUAAGAGAAAAUAUGAAGACUUAGAAGAGUAGCAUGAGGAAGGAAAAGAUAAAAGGUUUCUAAAACAUGACGGAGGUUGAGAUGAAGCUUCUUCAUGGAGUAAAAAAUGUAUUUAAAAGAAAAUUGAGAGAAAGGACUACAGAGCCCCGAAUUAAUACCAAUAGAAGGGCAAUGCUUUUAGAUUAAAAUGAAGGUGACUUAAACAGCUUAAAGUUUAGUUUAAAAGUUGUAGGUGAUUAAAAUAAUUUGAAGGCGAUCUUUUAAAAAGAGAUUAAACCGAAGGUGAUUAAAAGACCUUGAAAUCCAUGACGCAGGGAGAAUUGCGUCAUUUAAAGCCUAGUUAACGCAUUUACUAAACGCAGACGAAAAUGGAAAGAUUAAUUGGGAGUGGUAGGAUGAAACAAUUUGGAGAAGAUAGAAGUUUGAAGUGGAAAACUGGAAGACAGAAGUACGGGAAGGCGAAGAAAAGAAUAGAGAAGAUAGGGAAAUUAGAAGAUAAAAACAUACUUUUAGAAGAAAAAAGAUAAAUUUAAACCUGAAAAGUAGGAAGCAGAAGAAAAAAGACAAGCUAGGAAACAAAAAGCUAAGGGCAAAAUGUACAAACUUAGAAGAAAAUUGGAAGAUAGAAACAAGAUAGAAAAUGAAAAUAUUGUCAAGAGUUUCAGAUAGAAAAUGAAAAACAAGCUAAGACAAGUAUUGGAGAAGUAUAGAAGAUAGAAAAAUAUAAAGCCAAAAAUUGGAUAAAAUAGCACUGAAAAAAUGAGGAAAUUAUUGGUAACCAAUUUAUUUUAAAAGCCCAUCAAUUUAAUUUCUGGUGGUGCAGAAGUUAGAAGGUAAAGCUUGAGAAGAUGAGGGUGUUUACGUAGACCAGAACCAAUUUAGAAGAAUACUUGAAGCUAGAAGGGGAAGUUGGUUAAAAAUCACAUCAAAAAGCUACUAAAAGGACUGGUGUAAUUUAAAAAAAACUAAGGCAGAAGGCUUUUGGAAGAGUUAGAAGAAUUUGGAAGGCCUUAAAUAUAGUAGCUUAGUUUGAAAAAUGUGAAGGACUUUCGUAACGGAAGUAAUUCAAGAUCAAGAGUAAUUACCAACUUAAUGUUUUUGCAUUGGACUUUGAGUUAAGAUUAUUUUUUAAAUCCUGAGGACUAGCAUUAAUUGACAGCUGACCCAGGUGCUACACAGAAGUGGAUUCAGUGAAUCUAGGAAGACAGCAGCAGACAGGAUUCCAGGAACCAGUGUUUGAUGAAGCUAGGACUGAGGAGCAAGCGAGCAAGCAGCAGUUCGUGGUGAAGAUAGGAAAAGAGUCCAGGAGCCAGUGCGAUUUGGUGAAGGAAGCUAGGAAGAAGGAAGGAGCGCUAACGAUUUGGUGGUGAAGCUAGGAAAAAGGAUUCCAGGAAGGAGCGAGUGCAAUUUGGUGAUGAAGGUAGCAGGCGGCUUGGCUUGGCAACCACACGGAGGAGGCGAGCAGGCGUUGUGCGUAGAGGAUCCUAGACCAGCAUGCCAGUGUGCCAAGGCCACAGGGAAAGCGAGUGGUUGGUAAAAAUCCGUGAGGUCGGCAAUAUGUUGUUUUUCUGGAACUUACUUAUGGUAACCUUUUAUUUAUUUUCUAAUAUAAUGGGGGAGUUUCGUACUGAGGUGUAAAGGGAUUUAUAUGGGGACGUAGGCCGAUUUCCGGGUGUUGUAGGUUUCUCUUUUUCAGGCUUAUACUCAUGAAUCUUGUCUGAAGCUUUUGAGGGCAGACUGCCAAGUCCUGGAGAAAUAGUAGAUGGCAAGUUUGUGGGUUUUUUUUUUUUACACGAAUUUGAGGAAAACCAAAUGAAUUUGAUAGCCAAAUUGAGACAAUUUCAGCAAAUCUGUAAGCAGUUUGUAUGUUUAGUUGGGGUAAUGAAGUAUUUCAGUUUUGUGAAUAGAUGACCUGUUUUUACUUCCUCACCCUGAAUUCGUUUUGUAAAUGUAGAGUUUGGAUGUGUAACUGAGGCGGGGGGGAGUUUUCAGUAUUUUUUUUUGUGGGGGUGGGGGCAAAAUAUGUUUUCAGUUCUUUUUCCCUUAGGUCUGUCUAGAAUCCUAAAGGCAAAUGACUCAAGGUGUAACAGAAAACAAGAAAAUCCAAUAUCAGGAUAAUCAGACCACCACAGGUUUACAGUUUAUAGAAACUAGAGCAGUUCUCACGUUGAGGUCUGUGGAAGAGAUGUCCAUUGGAGAAAUGGCUGGUAGUUACUCUUUUUUCCCCCCACCCCCUUAAUCAGACUUUAAAAGUGCUUAACCCCUUAAACUUGUUAUUUUUUACUUGAAGCAUUUUGGGAUGGUCUUAACAGGGAAGAGAGAGGGUGGGGGAGAAAAUGUUUUUUUCUAAGAUUUUCCACAGAUGCUAUAGUACUAUUGACAAACUGGGUUAGAGAAGGAGUGUACCGCUGUGCUGUUGGCACGAACACCUUCAGGGACUGGAGCUGCUUUUAUCCUUGGAAGAGUAUUCCCAGUUGAAGCUGAAAAGUACAGCACAGUGCAGCUUUGGUUCAUAUUCAGUCAUCUCAGGAGAACUUCAGAAGAGCUUGAGUAGGCCAAAUGUUGAAGUUAAGUUUUCCAAUAAUGUGACUUCUUAAAAGUUUUAUUAAAGGGGAGGGGCAAAUAUUGGCAAUUAGUUGGCAGUGGCCUGUUACGGUUGGGAUUGGUGGGGUGGGUUUAGGUAAUUGUUUAGUUUAUGAUUGCAGAUAAACUCAUGCCAGAGAACUUAAAGUCUUAGAAUGGAAAAAGUAAAGAAAUAUCAACUUCCAAGUUGGCAAGUAACUCCCAAUGAUUUAGUUUUUUUCCCCCCAGUUUGAAUUGGGAAGCUGGGGGAAGUUAAAUAUGAGCCACUGGGUGUACCAGUGCAUUAAUUUGGGCAAGGAAAGUGUCAUAAUUUGAUACUGUAUCUGUUUUCCUUCAAAGUAUAGAGCUUUUGGGGAAGGAAAGUAUUGAACUGGGGGUUGGUCUGGCCUACUGGGCUGACAUUAACUACAAUUAUGGGAAAUGCAAAAGUUGUUUGGAUAUGGUAGUGUGUGGUUCUCUUUUGGAAUUUUUUUCAGGUGAUUUAAUAAUAAUUUAAAACUACUAUAGAAACUGCAGAGCAAAGGAAGUGGCUUAAUGAUCCUGAAGGGAUUUCUUCUGAUGGUAGCUUUUGUAUUAUCAAACUUUUUUCAGAUAACAUCUUCUGAGUCAUAACCAGCCUGGCAGUAUGAUGGCCUAGAUGCAGAGAAAACAGCUCCUUGGUGAAUUGAUAAGUAAAGGCAGAAAAGAUUAUAUGUCAUACCUCCAUUGGGGAAUAAGCAUAACCCUGAGAUUCUUACUACUGAUGAGAACAUUAUCUGCAUAUGCCAAAAAAUUUUAAGCAAAUGAAAGCUACCAAUUUAAAGUUACGGAAUCUACCAUUUUAAAGUUAAUUGCUUGUCAAGCUAUAACCACAAAAAUAAUGAAUUGAUGAGAAAUACAAUGAAGAGGCAAUGUCCAUCUCAAAAUACUGCUUUUACAAAAGCAGAAUAAAAGCGAAAAGAAAUGAAAAUGUUACACUACAUUAAUCCUGGAAUAAAAGAAGCCGAAAUAAAUGAGAGAUGAGUUGGGAUCAAGUGGAUUGAGGAGGCUGUGCUGUGUGCCAAUGUUUCGUUUGCCUCAGACAGGUAUCUCUUCGUUAUCAGAAGAGUUGCUUCAUUUCAUCUGGGAGCAGAAAACAGCAGGCAGCUGUUAACAGAUAAGUUUAACUUGCAUCUGCAGUAUUGCAUGUUAGGGAUAAGUGCUUAUUUUUAAGAGCUGUGGAGUUCUUAAAUAUCAACCAUGGCACUUUCUCCUGACCCCUUCCCUAGGGGAUUUCAGGAUUGAGAAAUUUUUCCAUCGAGCCUUUUUAAAAUUGUAGGACUUGUUCCUGUGGGCUUCAGUGAUGGGAUAGUACACUUCACUCAGAGGCAUUUGCAUCUUUAAAUAAUUUCUUAAAAGCCUCUAAAGUGAUCAGUGCCUUGAUGCCAACUAAGGAAAUUUGUUUAGCAUUGAAUCUCUGAAGGCUCUAUGAAAGGAAUAGCAUGAUGUGCUGUUAGAAUCAGAUGUUACUGCUAAAAUUUACAUGUUGUGAUGUAAAUUGUGUAGAAAACCAUUAAAUCAUUCAAAAUAAUAAACUAUUUUUAUUAGAGAAUGUAUACUUUUAGAAAGCUGUCUCCUUAUUUAAAUAAAAUAGUGUUUGUCUGUAGUUCAGUGUUGGGGCAAUCUUGGGGGGGAUUCUUCUCUAAUCUUUCAGAAACUUUGUCUGCGAACACUCUUUAAUGGACCAGAUCAGGAUUUGAGCGGAAGAACGAAUGUAACUUUAAGGCAGGAAAGACAAAUUUUAUUCUUCAUAAAGUGAUGAGCAUAUAAUAAUUCCAGGCACAUGGCAAUAGAGGCCCUCUAAAUAAGGAAUAAAUAACCUCUUAGACAGGUGGGAGAUUAUGAUCAGAGUAAAAGGUAAUUACACAUUUUAUUUCCAGAAAGUCAGGGGUCUAUAAAUUGACAGUGAUUAGAGUAAUACUUUUUCACAUUUCCAAAGUUUGCAUGUUAACUUUAAAUGCUUACAAUCUUAGAGUGGUAGGCAAUGUUUUACACUAUUGACCUUAUAUAGGGAAGGGAGGGGGUGCCUGUGGGGUUUUAAAGAAUUUUCCUUUGCAGAGGCAUUUCAUCCUUCAUGAAGCCAUUCAGGAUUUUGAAUUGCAUAUGAGUGCUUGGCUCUUCCUUCUGUUCUAACUUCACAGAGAAUGCAGUUGUCUUGACUUCAGGUCUGUCUGUUCUGUUGGCAAGUAAAUGCAGUACUGUUCUGAUCCCGCUGCUAUUAGAAUGCAUUGUGAAACGACUGGAGUAUGAUUAAAAGUUGUGUUCCCCAAUGCUUGGAGUAGUGAUUGUUGAAGGAAAAAAUCCAGCUGAGUGAUAAAGGCUGAGUGUUGAGGAAAUUUCUGCAGUUUUAAGCAGUCGUAUUUGUGAUUGAAGCUGAGUACAUUUUGCUGGUGUAUUUUUAGGUAAAAUGCUUUUUGUUCAUUUCUGGUGGUGGGAGGGGACUGAAGCCUUUAGUCUUUUCCAGAUGCAACCUUAAAAUCAGUGACAAGAAACAUUCCAAACAAGCAACAGUCUUCAAGAAAUUAAACUGGCAAGUGGAAAUGUUUAAACAGUUCAGUGAUCUUUAGUGCAUUGUUUAUGUGUGGGUUUCUCUCUCCCCUCCCUUGGUCUUAAUUCUUACAUGCAGGAACACUCAGCAGACACACGUAUGCGAAGGGCCAGAGAAGCCAGACCCAGUAAGAAAAAAUAGCCUAUUUACUUUAAAUAAACCAAACAUUCCAUUUUAAAUGUGGGGAUUGGGAACCACUAGUUCUUUCAGAUGGUAUUCUUCAGACUAUAGAAGGAGCUUCCAGUUGAAUUCACCAGUGGACAAAAUGAGGAAAACAGGUGAACAAGCUUUUUCUGUAUUUACAUACAAAGUCAGAUCAGUUAUGGGACAAUAGUAUUGAAUAGAUUUCAGCUUUAUGCUGGAGUAACUGGCAUGUGAGCAAACUGUGUUGGCGUGGGGGUGGAGGGGUGAGGUGGGCGCUAAGCCUUUUUUUAAGAUUUUUCAGGUACCCCUCACUAAAGGCACCGAAGGCUUAAAGUAGGACAACCAUGGAGCCUUCCUGUGGCAGGAGAGACAACAAAGCGCUAUUAUCCUAAGGUCAAGAGAAGUGUCAGCCUCACCUGAUUUUUAUUAGUAAUGAGGACUUGCCUCAACUCCCUCUUUCUGGAGUGAAGCAUCCGAAGGAAUGCUUGAAGUACCCCUGGGCUUCUCUUAACAUUUAAGCAAGCUGUUUUUAUAGCAGCUCUUAAUAAUAAAGCCCAAAUCUCAAGCGGUGCUUGAAGGGGAGGGAAAGGGGGAAAGCGGGCAACCACUUUUCCCUAGCUUUUCCAGAAGCCUGUUAAAAGCAAGGUCUCCCCACAAGCAACUUCUCUGCCACAUCGCCACCCCGUGCCUUUUGAUCUAGCACAGACCCUUCACCCCUCACCUCGAUGCAGCCAGUAGCUUGGAUCCUUGUGGGCAUGAUCCAUAAUCGGUUUCAAGGUAAUAGCCUGCAGCUGGUGUUUUGAGAAGCCCUACUGCUGAAAACUUAACAAUUUUGU